GCCGCCGUAGCUCAGCCUGGUGGAGCGCCGGCCUUGUAAGCCGGUGGUCGCGGGUUCAAGUCCCGCCGGCGGCU
rnacentral:tRNA from 1 species